UACGUAGGGGCCUAGCGUUGUCCGGAUUUAUUGGGCGUAAAGAGCUCGUAGGCGGUCUGUCACGUCGGCUGUGAAAACCCGAGGCUCAACCUCGGGCCUGCAGUCGAUACGGGCAAACUAGAGUACUGCAGGGGAGACUGGAAUUCCUGGUGUAGCGGUGAAAUGCGCAGAUAUCAGGAGGAACACCGGUGGCGAAGGCGGGUCUCUGGGCAGUAACUGACGCUGAGGAGCGAAAGCGUGGGGAGCGAACAGG
rnacentral:rRNA from 1 species